GACGAACGCUGGCGGCGUGCCUAAUACAUGCAAGUUGAGCGCUGAAGGUUGGUACUUGUACCAACUGGAUGAGCAGCGAACGGGUGAGUAACGCGUGGGGAAUCUGCCUUUGAGCGGGGGACAACAUUUGGAAACGAAUGCUAAUACCGCAUAAAAACUUUAAACACAAGUUUUAAGUUUGAAAGAUGCAAUUGCAUCACUCAAAGAUGAUCCCGCGUUGUAUUAGCUAGUUGGUGGGGUAAAGGCUCACCAAGGCGAUGAUACAUAGCCGACCUGAGAGGGUGAUCGGCCACAUUGGGACUGAGACACGGCCCAAACUCCUACGGGAGGCAGCAGUAGGGAAUCUUCGGCAAUGGACGAAAGUCUGACCGAGCAACGCCGCGUGAGUGAAGAAGGUUUUCGGAUCGUAAAACUCUGUUGGUAGAGAAGAACGUUGGUGAGAGUGGAAAGCUCACCAAGUGACGGUAACUACCCAGAAAGGGACGGCUAACUACGUG
rnacentral:rRNA from 1 species